rnacentral:rRNA from 1 species
GCAUAUUAAGUAUUAGAGGCACUGCCUGCCCAGUGACAUCUGUUCAACGGCCGCGGUAUCCUGACCGUGCAAAGGUAGCAUAAUCACUUGUUCUCUAAAUAAGGACUUGUAUGAAUGGCCACACGAGGGUUUUACUGUCUCUUACUUCCAAUCAGUGAAAUUGACCUUCCCGUGAAGAGGCGGGAAUACCUAAAUAAGACGAGAAGACCCUAUGGAGCUUUAAUUAAUUAGCCCAAUAAAGAACACCCAAAACCCUACAGGCAUAACCCCUCUUUAUAUGGACUAACAAUUUAGGUUGGGGUGACCUCGGAGUAUAAAACAACCUCCGAGUGAUUAAAGCCUAGACCAACAAGUCAAAGCAUAGUAUCACUUAUUGAUCCAAAUCUUGAUCAACGGAACAAGUUACCCUAGGGAUAACAGCGCAAUCCUAUUUAAGAGUCCAUAUCGACAAUAGGGUUUACGACCUCGAUGUUGGAUCAGGACAUCCCAAUGGUGUAGCAGCUAUUUAUGGUUCGUUUGUUCAACGAUUAAAGUCCU